UACGUAGGGUCCGAGCGUUGUCCGGAAUUACUGGGCGUAAAGAGCUCGUAGGUGGUUUGUCGCGUUGUUCGUGAAAACUCACAGCUUAACUGUGGGCGUGCGGGCGAUACGGGCAGACGUGGAGUACUGCAGGGGAGACUGGAAUUCCUAGGUGUAGGCGGUGGAAAUGCGCAGAUAUCAGGAGGAACACCGGUGGCGAAGGCGGGUCUCUGGGCAGUGAACUGACGCUGGAGGAGCGAAAGCCGUGGGGAGCGAACAGG
rnacentral:rRNA from 1 species